UACAGAGGUCUCAAGCGUUGUUCGGAUUCAUUGGGCGUAAAGGGUGUGUAGGUGGCGCGCUAAGUCGGGUGUGAAAUUUCGGAGCUUAACUCCGAAACUGCAUUCGAUACUGGCGUGCUUGAGGACUGGAGAGGAGACUGGAAUUCAUGGUGUAGCAGUGAAAUGCGUAGAGAUCAUGAGGAAGACCAGUGGCGAAGGCGGGUCUCUGGACAGUUCCUGACACUGAAACACGAAGGCCAGGGGAGCAAACGGG
rnacentral:rRNA from 1 species